rnacentral:ncRNA from 2 species
AUGAAUAAUACUGGAGAGAACGCAUUAUGCGUCGCCGAAGGAGCAAGCCGAUUCCGGUGAAUCUCUCAGGCAAAAGGACAGUAUUGCGACG